rnacentral:rRNA from 1 species
UACGUAGGGUGCGAGCGUUAAUCGGAAUUACUGGGCGUAAAGUGUGCGCAGGUGGCCGCGCAAGUCGAGUGUGAAAUCCCCGAGCUUAACUUGGGAAUUGCGCUCGAAACUACGUGGCUCGAGUGUGGCAGAGGAAGGUGGAAUUCCACGUGUAGCGGUGAAAUGCGUAGAGAUCGGGAGGAACAUCCGUGGCGAAGGCGACUACCUGGACCAGCACUGACACUGAGGCACGAAAGCGUGGGGAGCAAACAGG